rnacentral:misc_RNA from 1 species
GACCACCUGUCCCCCACAGCUUCCAUGGCGCGAGCCACCGAGCAUUCCUUGUUGGCAAUACGGCUUCGCUUCACAUCGGCCAUUGCAGUCUUUCAAACUUUGAAUCUUGCUGCCCACGGAGGCCGAUGUUCGUCUGUCCAGCGCCCUUCCGCCCGCUUUUAGUAGGGUUUUUCAAACCUCCCUCGUCCUUUUCAAGCCUUCACUGUCCGUUCAAGGAUCGGAGGCAGCAUCUAUAACCGUGCCGAAUG